AAACAAGAAGUUUUUAAGGAAAAACACAACCGACUUCAAUUCUCAUAUCCAAAUUUAGGGUACCGUUAAUUUUUCCAUUAUCCAAUGAUCGAAUCUAAACCAGGUUAGUAUGGGACCAGUGGGUAGUGGGACACUACCUUUCCAAUGCAAAACGAAUUAUCGAAAUCAGUUGACGUGGUCCAAAGUUAUGCGGUAACAUACAUAC